rnacentral:tRNA from 1 species
GCCGUUGGUGGCGCGGGAGCGUUCGGGGCGGGUGCCGUUGUCGUUGGCGCAGUCUCGGAUGUGGUUUUUGAACCGGUUCGAGCCGGAGUCGGCU